rnacentral:rRNA from 1 species
UACGGAAGGUCCGGGCGUUAUCCGGAUUUAUUGGGUUUAAAGGGAGCGUAGGCCGUUUGGUAAGCGUGUUGUGAAAUGUCGGGGCUCAACCUGGGCAUUGCAGCGCGAACUGCCAGACUUGAGUGUGCAGGAAGUAGGCGGAAUUCGUCGUGUAGCGGUGAAAUGCUUAGAUAUGACGAAGAACUCCGAUUGCGAAGGCAGCCUGCUGUAGCGCAACUGACGCUGAAGCUCGAAAGCGUGGGUAUCGAACAGG